rnacentral:tRNA from 1 species
GCCUGGGUGGCUCAGUCGGUUGAGCGUCCGACUUCGGCUCAGGUCAUGAUCUCAUGGUCCGUGGGUUCGAGCCCCGUGUCAGGCU